rnacentral:rRNA from 1 species
UACGUAGGGUGCAAGCGUUAAUCCGAAUUACUGGGCGUAAAGCGUGCGCAGGCGGUUUUGUAAGUCUGUCGUGAAAUCCCCGGGCUCAACCUGGGAAUGGCGAUGGAGACUGCAAGGCUGGAAUCUGGCAGAGGGGGGUAGAAUUCCACGUGUAGCAGUGAAAUGCGUAGAGAUGUGGAGGAACACCGAUGGCGAAGGCAGCCCCCUGGGCUAAGAUUGACGCUCAUGCACGAAAGCGUGGGGAGCAAACAGG